rnacentral:rRNA from 1 species
AUGCAGUCGGGCGCCCCGCAAGGGGAGCGGCAGACGGGUGAGUAACGCGUGGGAACGUACCCUUUACUACGGAAUAACGCAGGGAAACUUGUGCUAAUACCGUAUGUGCCCUUCGGGGGAAAGAUUUAUCGGUAAGGGAUCGGCCCGCGUUGGAUUAGCUAGUUGGUGGGGUAAAGGCCUACCAAGGCGACGAUCCAUAGCUGGUCUGAGAGGAUGAUCAGCCACAUUGGGACUGAGACACGGCCCAAACUCCUACGGGAGGCAGCAGUGGGGAAUAUUGGACAAUGGGCGCAAGCCUGAUCCAGCCAUGCCGCGUGAGUGAUGAAGGCCCUAGGGUUGUAAAGCUCUUUCACCGGAGAAGAUAAUGACGGUAUCCGGAGAAGAAGCCCCGGCUAACUUCGUGCCAGCAGCCGCGGUAAUACGAAGGGGGCUAGCGUUGUUCGGAAUUACUGGGCGUAAAGCGCACGUAGGCGGACAUUUAAGUCAGGGGUGAAAUCCCAGAGCUCAACUCUGGAACUGCCUUUGAUACUGGGUGUCUUGAGUAUGGAAGAGGUGAGUGGAAUU